CACGGAAGGAUGUCUAAAAGCGAACAGGAAUCUACCUCGUUAGGACACAAACCACCGUAGUCAAGUUUCAAAAUAAGUUUGGGUUCGAACCAAGUGUAUUUUGCCCUCGGGUUUUUGCGAGUGUGUUUGUUUACCUCUACACCUUCAUCACUGCUAAUCAGUUGAAUCGGUUUAGACCACUUUCUUCCGCGCUUUUUGUUGUCGCCAUCUUUUUUUCACAGGUUACAGUCGCCGGGAAGUGGUUGAAUUGCUGCUCACCAACGGUGCAUCGAUCCAGGCCAGAGACGAUGGAGGACUCCACCCGCUGCAUAAUGCGUGUUCGUUCGGUCAUGCCGAUGUCGUUCGCUUGUUCCUGGAAGCCGGCGCCAAUCCAAAUACCCGGGACAACUGGAACUAUACCGAGGCCGCCAGCAAGGAGCCGGGAAUAAGGAACCGUUUUAUAGGAGGAUUUCGUCGAGAUAUUCGUCCGUCACUGUCCACAACAGGGGGUUCCAGUGCUCGUCGAAUUAAACAAACUUCGGCUGUCAAUGAAGCAGAUGGUAAAUUCCAUUAUUUUAUUAUUGAAAUGUAUAAUAGAAAUGUACAAAUAUUAUAUAGAAAUUAAAAUUAAACUAAAAUAAAUAUGUUUGAAAAAA